UCUAGAAUGGCAGAUUAAUGCGUUAGGUUUAGGACCUACUGAUGAGAAUACAUUUCUCUUUUAGAA
rnacentral:tRNA from 1 species